UGGAGAAGCAUAAAGAAGGAUAAUUCUACAUUUAAGGCAGAGGAAAGGGUUCAGCCAUGUCCAGUUUUGUGGAUCUUUUUGUACUGUUGUGUUUCAAACUCCCUCUCAUAUUCACAAAAGAGAAUUUCCAUUUUGUAUAAAUAGGAUGUUGAUGGUAAAGGAGAUUGUGGCGCUUCCAAAUCUCCAGUACAGCUGUACAGAGCAUUAUAUGAGUUUAACAAUCUGAUUCUUCUUACUACUAAGCCUUGCAGAGACUUACCCAGCUUAUUCUUUUGUCUCCUUUUACUGUUCCACUGUUCCAGUGCUAUCAGAGCUGCUCGGGUUGGUAAGCAAAGGUAUUUCCUGUGCAAACAGAACUCUUGGAAAUGUUCCAGCACUUAAGCAGCGCUGCUGGAUCUAGGAGCUGCUCAGCUGGGUUGGUAGCAGUCAGUGAUACAGCCAUCAGCACACUGGAAUAACUGGGAUUUUGGGAUAAGUCACCUCAGAUUUUCAGGAGUGAAGCUGAAGUUUCCAGCCAGUCAUUGAAUUGAAUCUUCUGGUUUGGACUAGAAAAAGUUGAUUUCAAGGUCCCUUUCCCUUCCAAAGGACACACAGACACAAAUGAAACUGCUCUGAAAAGCUUUCAGAAAUUGUUGUGGUUUUCCUGCACUCUUCAUUGCUGCUGCAGGUUUGUGAAACACAGCAGAGAGCACAGAGCCCUGACCCUUCAAAGCAACCAGGACCAAUUUCUCCCCAGCAGAAUCUGGCAGCACUGAUUAAUGUCCAGCACCAUCAGCACCAGGACUAUGUACAAGCUGCUAAAAGCUAUAAAAAUGCAUCAACCUCUACUCCAACAUAUAGUAAAGAAAGUAUUUUUAAAAAUCCCAAUCAGCAUCUCACUAAACAAGACAAUAAUGAAGUUAGCUUAUUUUAAUUUGGGUGAUUGAUUGUCAAGAUGCAACAACUGUUUCUCCAGUCUACACACCAGCAGUCUGUUUUUACAUGAAAGCACCAAGCAGGAAAUUGCUCCAUGAUAAAGGGGCAAUCUCUGGAUGUGCUGGCAGGGCAAGUGACUGGAAGGCACGAAGCCCAACCAAACAGCUGGAAGUGGCAGAACUGAGAUAAACGAAGCUCCCUGUGAAAGAAUAUCCCGAGGGAGCUCGGCUCAAAGGAGACCAAAAAAUCCAUUUUGAGAAGUGCAGCAUCAAGCAGAGAAAAAAGUUUCACUCAGGAACAUCCUACCAGGUGGUUCUGGGUGAGCACAACCUCCUGGAGGUGGAUGGCACUGAGUACUACCUUGGUGUGGAUUCAAUCUGCAUCCAUGACAGCUGGAAUCCUAGUGACAUUGCCAACAGCUCUGACAUUGCCCUGCUGUGCCUCGGAUCUCCUGCCAAUGCCAACGGGUUCGCUGAGCUGGGAGCGCUUCCACCUAAGGGAGAAAUUUUUCCCAAUGACUAUUCCUGCCGUGUUACUGGCUGAGAAGUGGUCAGUGGAAUCAGCAAGCAGAGAGAAAAACCUCCAGCUCCUCAGGGUGCACCUCUCCUCUCUGAUUCUGGAGAGUAGAUUGUCCCUGUCUCUCAGCAGCGUGUCCCAAGUUCCAGAUCCUGGGGACAAGGGUGAGACUUUGGCAGUCACCUCUGCCCUGACCCAAAGGGUGAAGCUACAAGGAAGUUUUCCCACUCUUCCAGUGCUGCUGUUUUGCUUUGUUGUACCCUGAGCCAGGCAUUGCUACAUCCUGCUUGUCAACCUUCUCCUUCCCAUCCACUCUGUUUGCAGCAGAGCUUGCUGCAAGUUUGGGCUAUGUCCAACAGCUUUCUCUGGCCCAGAGGUGGGAAAAGAAGAUAUUGUGAGGUUCCCAUUAUCCCAGAGGAUCCAGGUGGCCUCAGCAUCAAGGCAAGGAGGUUUGGCAUGAGAAGUCAAGAAAUAUUUGUUACCUCUUCCUGUAUUCCCUUCACUGCAAAGGUGGCUUCUAAUAAAAGCAACCAUGUAGAGCCCUUAAAAAAGUGUGAGAAAAUACAUAAUGUGUGAUUAAGUAAAUAUAGGAAUAUAGAAACAUACAGGAGUAAAGCAGGUUGUACAAUUAUGCAUAGUACAGUUAUAGGUACAGAAUAAUUAUAGGUCUGUAGAUGUUUAGUGUAUUUUUUUGUGUGUGUGUGAGUGAUUUAAUUAUGUCAGAACCUUGUUACAAAUCAGGUUGUGAGCCCAGGAAGAGCCUUUAUCUUCUCACAUAUUUUAAGUCUCUAGUGCUCCUUUAUCCUACCCGUUCAUUGCUCAGAUAAUUUGGCUGAAUAUUUCCUUUCCUUCCUCCAAUCCAGGGGGACUCUGGGGGUCCUCUCAGCUGCUACAGGGAUGAUCACUGGGAAGUCCAUGGCAUUUUUACUACGGAGAAUAAUAGAGAAGGAUCGCUUGGUGCAUGAAUAUAUGAGAUAAAAUUAAGUAGCUGUGCUCUUUAACCCUCUUCUCAUCCUUUCUGCACCUCUCUGGGUUAUUAACAGCAAGAUUUGGCUAAUAUUGGUGUAAUAAAGUCUC